rnacentral:tRNA from 1 species
CCUGAAGAAGCUCAGUGGCGAGCGGUCGGCUCGAGACCGGCAGGGCGCAAGUUCGAAUCUUGCCUUCAGGUCGA